rnacentral:rRNA from 1 species
UGAGUACGCGUGGGAACAUACCCUUUGGUUCGGAAUAGCUCGGGAAACUGUGAGUAAUACGGAUAAGCUCUUCGGAGGAAAGAUUUAUCGCCAAAGGAUUGGCCGCGUUGGAUUAGGUAGUUGGUGGGGUAAUGGCCUACCAAGCCGGCGAUCCAUAGCUGGUUUGAGAGGAUGAUCAGCCAACACUGGGACUGAGACACGGCCCAGAACUCCUACGGGAGGCAGCAGUGGGGAAUCUUAGACAAUGGGGGAAACCCUGAUCUAGCCAUGCCGCGUGAUCGAUGAAGGCCUUAGGGUUGUAAAGAUCUUUCAGUGGGGAAGAUAAUGACGGUACCCACAGAAGAAGCCCCGGCUAACUCCGUACCAGCAGCCGCGGUAAUACGGAGGGGGCUAGCGUUAUUCGGAAUUACUGGGCGUAAAGCGCACGUAGGCGGAUUGGAAAGUCAGAGGUGAAAUCCCAGGGCUCAACCUUGGAACUGCCUUUGAAACUCCCAGUCUUGAGGUCGUGAGAGGUGAGUGGAAUU